rnacentral:rRNA from 1 species
UAACGCGUGGGGAACCUGCCCUAUACAGGGGGAUAACAGCUGGAAACGGCUGCUAAUACCGCAUAAGCGCACGGAAUCGCAUGAUUCAGUGUGAAAAGCCCUGGCAGUAUAGGAUGGUCCCGCGUCUGAUUAGCUGGUUGGUGAGGUAACGGCUCACCAAGGCGACGAUCAGUAGCCGGCUUGAGAGAGUGAACGGCCACAUUGGGACUGAGACACGGCCCAA